GGCGGCGUGCUUAACACAUGCAAGUCGAACGGUGAAGCCCUUCGGGGUGGAUCAGUGGCGAACGGGUGAGUAACACGUGGGCAAUCUGCCCUGCACUCUGGGACAAGCCCUGGAAACGGGGUCUAAUACCGGAUAUUACCUUCCUCUGCAUGGGGGUUGGUGGAAAGCUCCGGCGGUGCAGGAUGAGCCCGCGGCCUAUCAGCUUGUUGGUGGGGUAAUGGCCUACCAAGGCGACGACGGGUAGCCGGCCUGAGAGGGCGACCGGCCACACUGGGACUGAGACACGGCCCAGACUCCUACGGGAGGCAGCAGUGGGGAAUAUUGCACAAUGGGCGAAAGCCUGAUGCAGCGACGCCGCGUGAGGGAUGACGGCCUUCGGGUUGUAAACCUCUUUCAGCAGGGAAGAAGCGAAAGUGACGGUACCUGCAGAAGAAGCACCGGCUAACUACGUGCCAGCAGCCGCGGUAAUACGUAGGGUGCGAGCGUUGUCCGGAAUUAUUGGGCGUAAAGAGCUCGUAGGCGGCUUGUCACGUCGGUUGUGAAAGCCCGGGGCUUAACCCCGGGUCUGCAGUCGAUACGGGCAGGCUAGAGUUCGGUAGGGGAGAUCGGAAUUCCUGGUGUAGCGGUGAAAUGCGCAGAUAUCAGGAGGAACACCGGUGGCGAAGGCGGAUCUCUGGGCCGAUACUGACGCUGAGGAGCGAAAGCGUGGGGAGCGAACAGGAUUAGAUACCCUGGUAGUCCACGCCGUAAACGUUGGGAACUAGGUGUGGGUCACAUUCCACGUGGUCCGUGCCGCAGCUAACGCAUUAAGUUCCCCGCCUGGGGAGUACGGCCGCAAGGCUAAAACUC
rnacentral:rRNA from 1 species